GCUUAGGUGGCUUAGUGGUUGGAGCGUCCGCCUCGGAUGCGGAAGAUCAUGGGUUCGAUCCCCGGCCGAGUCA